rnacentral:rRNA from 1 species
UCUGUGUCCCACGCUGUCGGUUCAUCGCCCGCGGUGUUCAACUGGCACGUCUCGUGGGACGUCCUGCCGGUGGGCAAGCGAGCGUCGCGUUGCCGGCGGUCGAUCAGCGACGGGCGGGUCGCGUGCGGUCAAGUGCGUCGCGGCGCGCGGUCGUCUUAACCGGCGGUCCGUUGCGUCCGGCGCGCCCCGUGCGUCCUCCGUCGCCCGGCCGUUGUGCGCGCACCGCACGAUUGCCCGACUCCACAAUCCCGCCGCGGUGCUCUUCAUCGAGUGUCGAGGUGGGCCGGCACGUUUACUUUGAACAAAUUAGAGUGCUCAAAGCAGGCCAGAGUCCAGCCUGAAUACUGUGUGCAUGGAAUAAUGGAACAGGACCUCGGUUCUAUUUUGUUGGUUUUCGGAAGCCCGAGGUAAUGAUUAAUAGGGACAGAUGGGGGCAUUCGUAUUGCGACGUUAGAGGUGAAAUUCUUGGAUCGUCGCAAGACGGACGGAAGCGAAAGCAUUUGCCAAAAAUGUUUUCAUUAAUCAAGAACGAAAGUCAGAGGUUCGAAGGCGAUCAGAUACCGCCCUAGUUCUGACCAUAAACGAUGCCAGCUGGCGAUCCGCCGACGUUCCUCCGAUGACUCGGCGGGCAGCCUCCGGGAAACCAAAGCUUCUGGGUUCCGGGGGAAGUAUGGUUGCAAAGCUGAAACUUAAAGGAAUUGACGGAAGGGCACCACCAGGAGUGGAGCCUGCGGCUUAAUUUGACUCAACACGGGAAACCUCACCAGGCCCGGACACCGGAAGGAUUGACAGAUUGAGAGCUCUUUCUUGAUUCGGUGGGUGGUGGUGCAUGGCCGUUCUUAGUUGGUGGAGCGAUUUGUCUGGUUAAUUCCGAUAACGAACGAGACUCUAGCCUGCUAACUAGGCGUAACAUUUCCGGUAUCUGGAAGGCUCGCGUCGGACGUUUCGGCGUCGGUCGCGGGGUGCGCGCCCGCGUGUACCUCCGGCCGUGCGUCCGGCCGUCCGUUCGCGGUUUUUACUACCGGCGUUCAAUGAUAUCUUCUUAGAGGGACAGGCGGCUCCUAGCCGCACGAGAUUGAGCAAUAACAGGUCUGUGAUGCCCUUAGAUGUUCUGGGCCGCACGCGCGCUACACUGAAGGAAUCAGCGUGUCCUCCCUGGCCGAGCGGUCCGGGUAACCCGCUGAACCUCCUUCGUGCUAGGGAUUGGGGCUUGCAAUUGUUCCCCAUGAACGAGGAAUUCCCAGUAAGCGCGAGUCAUAAGCUCGCGUUGAUUACGUCCCUGCCCUUUGUACACACCGCCCGUCGCUACUACCGAUUGAAUGAUUUAGUGAGGUCUUCGGACCGGUACGCGGCGGCGUUCCGACGUCGCCGAUGUCGCUGGGAAGAUGACCAAACUUGAUCAUUUAGAGGAAGUAAAAGUCGUAACAAGGUUUCCGUAGGUGAACCUGCGGAAG